rnacentral:rRNA from 1 species
AGCUAGAUAAAGUCUAGCCUGCUCCUGACAAAAGUGUUAAAUAGCCGCGGUAUUUUGACCGUGCAAAGGUAGCAUAAUCAUUAGUUUUUUAAUUGGAAACUUGUAUGAAUGGUUGGACAAAGAAAAGACUGUCUCUUUUAUUAAAAUUGAAAUUAACUUCUAAGUGAAAAGGCUUAGAUUUUCUAGAGGGACGAUAAGACCCUAUAAAGCUUCAUAAGUUAAAUAAAUUAGAUGGAUUUUUAGAAUAAAAGUAAAUUUAGUAAGCUUAUUUAGUUGGGGCGACAAGGGUAUAAAAUUAAAUAACUGCUAUUAAGGUUAGACAAUUAUAUUUGGUUGGAUUGUAAUUGAUCCUCGCUAUGGAUUAAAAGAUUAAGUUACUUUAGGGAUAACAGCGUAAUUUCUUUUAAGAGUUCUUAUCAAAGGAGAAGUUUGCGACCUCGAUGUUGAAUUAAAAUGUCUUUAUAGUGCAGAAGCUAUAAAAGAAGGUCUGUUCGACCUUUAAUUUUUUACGUGAUCUGAGUUCAGACCCGGAAACGUAAAAAAUUAAGGUGAACAAA